AGUUGGUUAGCGACUCCAGUGGA
rnacentral:snRNA from 1 species